rnacentral:rRNA from 1 species
CAGGCCUAACACAUGCAAGUCGAACGGAAAGGCUCCAGCUUGCUGGAGUACUCGAGUGGCGAACGGGUGAGUAACACGUGGGUAAUCUGCCCUGCACUCUGGGAUAAGCCUGGGAAACUGGGUCUAAUACUGGAUAUGACCUUUCUCCUUAUGGGGUCUGGUGGAAAGUUUUUCGGUGUAGGAUGAGCCCGCGGCCUAUCAGCUUGUUGGUGGGGUGAUGGCCUACCAAGGCGACGAUGGGUAGCCGGCCUGAGAGGGUGAUCGGCCACAUUGGGACUGAGAUACGGCCCAGACUCCUACGGGAGGCAGCAGUGGGGAAUAUUGCACAAUGGGCGGAAGCCUGAUGCAGCGACGCCGCGUGAGGGAUGACGGCCUUCGGGUUGUAAACCUCUUUCAGCAGGGACGAAGCGUAAGUGACGGUACCUGCAGAAGAAGCACCGGCUAACUACGUGCCAGCAGCCGCGGUAAUACGUAGGGUGCGAGCGUUGUCCGGAAUUACUGGGCGUAAAGAGCUCGUAGGCGGUUUGUCACGUCGUCUGUGAAAUCCUAGGGCUUAACCCUGGACGUGCAGGCGAUACGGGCUGACUUGAGUACUACAGGGGAGACUGGAAUUUCUGGUGUAGCGGUGGAAUGCACAGAUAUCAGGAAGAACACCGAUGGCGAAGGCAGGUCUCUGGGUAGUAACUGACGCUGAGGAGCGAAAGCAUGGGUAGCGAACAGGAUUAGAUACCCUGGUAGUCCAUGCCGUAA